UAAUAAAAUACCCGAUGCUAAUAGUGAUAUUUUUUUAAAAAAAAUAUAUUUGUUUUUUUGCGUCGGUUUAAAAGGGAAGCAAACCUUCUACGCUAAUCUUAUAUAAUCUACCUUAACCCCAAAUCGAUUCACACACUAUUCACUUCGUCUUCAACCUCCGAAGUCUCUCCCCCGCUCUAGCGAUUCUCCUCUAUCCUCUUCGAUCUUUCCAACCAAAACCCCAUUCCACAAAAACCCAACUCAGUAAGUCUCUAGUCUUUCCCCUUUCCCCUUUCCCUUCUCUUCUUUCUUUUAUAUUUUCUUCAAAUUUCAUGGGUUUUUCCUCUUUCUCUCUCAGAUCUCUCUUCUCGCUAUCUCACACUUCCUCUGUUGUUAGUAGUCACUUUCUACUGUAUUUGGUGGCUUCACAUUGAAUGGGAGAAAUAUUUAGAAAAUGAAUUUAAGUAUUGUCUGAUUGGAGAUAAACAAUAGUGGUGGUUGAGGCAAUUGCUAGCCUGUGCUUGAUGAAGUGGUAGUACAGUACCAAAGGAUGAGAGACAUUUUUUGGAAUAAGUGUUUAAGCUCUUAGAAAAGAUAAGUAUCUCCUAAUUAAUAUAUAUAUAUAUUAUAUACAUGGCUAUUAAGUUUCGACUAAAAAAAUGGUCAAUUAAAAAUCAUCAAUAAGUUUAACUUCUUUGCACUUAACAAUCAGUUAUAUGUAAAAUAUAAGUAGAUAUAUCAUUUUGAUUACCCCAUUAUGUAAUGUCUCUUUAUUUUUUUUGUUGUUAAGCUAAUUAUUUUCAAUAAGUCACUUUUCAUGGUUGUGAUAGCAGGAAAAGCUGGAAUAUGCCACCUAUUUGUGCAUUACGUAAAGUAAAAUAUAUGGUUGGAUAAAUUAGAUGGAGGCUGCUCGAUACCAACUUUUGUAGAAUUAAAGUUAUCAAACUUGGGAUAAAGUUACUAAAUUAUAAUGAGAUUAUGAAAUGUAUUUUUCUUCUUUCUAUAAUUUGUUUUUUUCAAAUGAGUUUUUCAGCAGGGCAUGUCAAAUUCGGUAUCAUUACAAGGUAAUAAUUUUCUUUAAUCUUUUACUGCAAAAACAUUUUCGGAACGUAAAUUAUCAUCUUGUUUGUGUGUGUGUAUAGUUAGACAUAUUAUAAAUAACAAAUUAGUUACUUGUUAGAAUAGAAAAUCAUGUUUGAUCUGAGUUCUUGAUUUUCUAAGUCCAUUGGUUAGGACUCAAGAUUUUAGGGGAGAUUUUUAGAAUUGUUUCAUGAGCUAGUUUGUUUCGAAUAGUGGUAAACUGAAUGAGUGUACAGGGGUUACCUAUUCUUGUUGGGAGUUGUAUCAUUUUCUUUAUUAUAGAUUCUUUCUUCUCCCCUUAUGAGAUAUUAUACUUCUAUUAGGUUUGUUAUUGUGCUUAUCUUUGUGUUUGUUAAUAGUAUAUUGUGCUAUGACUUGACUUGGUAGUAAAUUUUAGCCUCUUUGAUUUUAAUGAGGAUAAGGCCUGCCUAUUCUCUUACUCUUUAUUAGGAUGUUCAUUUGUGGUAGUUCAUGGUGGUGUUGAGUCUCUACCUUUUUUUGUGCAUGCAUAUUCAUUCCUCAUUUCAGCUCUUGUGUUUUUUAAUUUAUUGGAGCAUAUAAUACUAAUUUGCGGUUAAGUUCUUGGUGGUUGACUUGUUAAAUUUGUUAAUAUUACACACACGAAAUGUUAAUUAACAUUGUUUUAUUGUAUUGAUGACUGGUUUUUUAAGGUAAUGGAACUAAUACUAAAAGUUUGCUUUGAACUUGGGAUAAGGGCACAAAUACAAAUUCAUCUAAUGCUUAAUCUUGUGGUUUAAAUUGAUCAGUUGUGUAAAUUUCAUCACUUUGAAGAAUUUUUGUUUCUUGCUUUUAAUAUGGUUCCAAAUUCCAUGUCUUGCUUGCUAUUCUAUAUCAUAGUUUGGUUUGUAAAUACAAUGCUUUGGAAGUUUGCCAAAAGAUUAGGACUUUAUUUAUCAUGUCGAACUUAGGUUGUUCUUUUUUUUAUGCAGGUUCCAUUGUAUGUGGCAACAAAGAUGGCAUCAAUCAAGAGAUCUUCCUUCUUUGUUCCAUCGAUUGAUGGCUAUGCUCGAGCAGCCAUGCGUUGGAUAGGUUACGAACCUCACUUACUGGCCUCAUUCCCUUUUAUGGGCUUUGGCAAAUGCAUUGCCAGAAAGUUUAAGUUAGACGCUCCCUACAUUAACGAGAAGAUCAAUGUAGUACGGGAUGAGUGAGCUAAAUUUGUGAAGCCUUUAAUUAUUAAUUGAGUACAAGGUUACCACUUUUUAUUAUGACACAUGGGAAAUAAGUUUUAUGAUUAUUGCUAUUUAACUCUUUUUCAUUAUGUAAUUAGUUUAUAGUUUUUUUUUUAUGAAAUGUAAUUAGUUUAUAGUUAGUUUUUAUGAUACAUGGAGUGUAAGUUUUAUAAAUGUUAUUUUAUUUUAUUUUUUGUAUUAUAUAAAAUCUUUUUAAAAUUUGAAAAUGCACAAAGGGAAAAUUGCA